rnacentral:lncRNA from 1 species
AUUAAGAGUUUCAUGAGUAUUAGUUGCUCUACCUCUUCAUUUUUUCUACUUUAUUUUCAUUCUUUAUUAUGCUUUUUUUUGUUUGCUCCGCAGAUGUUGUAGUUUUGGAGGAACAGUGGGGUGAUGAUCUUGUUUCAAACAGACAGUUUGAUGCUGCAAUAAAUCAUUACAUUGAAGCUGGAAAAACAUUGAAAGCUUUGGAUGUGGCCAUCCAAGACAAGCAGUGGAAGAAAGCUGUUGAGAUUAUUCAGGUUUUCACAGACAAAAGCUCUGUCCAAAACAAUACGCAUUGCUUGCAAAUCAUUUUGUAGCAAUAAAAGAUUACAGUCAAGCUGAGGAAUUUUUCAGCCAAGCCAAUAUGUACCAACAAGCAAUAGAUAUGUAUGUGCAGAUCAGAAAGUGGGACAAAGCAUACAAGUUGGGUGUUGAGCAUUUGGGUAAGAGUGAAACGUGCAAAUUUUUGACUGCAGAGGGAAAACGGCUGGAAGAGAUGAAGGAACUUGAAGAGGCAGAACUUGUGUAUCUAUCGAUUGAAAAACCAGAUCUUGCCAUAACGAUGUACAAAACUACAAAGAUUAUGAUAAGGUUAGGCUAUAAUGAGAUUAUAUUUUCUUUUCUCUGGUUUUUCUUACCUUGUUUUUUAAAUUUAAAUUAUUUGUCAGUCUAUUUGAUUACCAGGCUGAAAGGUAUAAAAUACAUGUUUGGAACUGAACAUGCACAUGCAAGAAGAAGUAUGAAUGCCAAAGAGUUGUUGUUGUUGUUGUGGUGGGAUACUGUCACUAAUUAUCUUCUGCUGAGGCUAAAAAGAGCUUAGUUUUU